AACGAACGCUGGCGGCAUGCCUAACACAUGCAAGUCGAACGAAACCUCCGGGUCUUGUGGCGCACGGGUGCGUAACGCGUGGGAACCUGCCCUUAGGUUCGGAAUAACUCCCCGAAAGGGGUGCUAAUACCGGAUAAUGUCUUCGGACCAAGGAUUUAUCGCCUUUGGAUGGGCCCGCGUUGGAUUAGCUAGUUGGUAGGGUAAAAGCCUACCAAGGCGACGAUCCAUAGCUGGUCUGAGAGGAGGAUCAGCCACACUGGGACUGAGACACGGCCCAGACUCCGACGGGAGGCAGCAGUGGGGAACACUGGACAAUGGGCGAAAGCCUGAUCCAGCAAUGCCGCGUGAGUGAUGAAGGCCUUAGGGUUGUAAAGCUCUUUUACCCGGGAUGAUAAUGACAGUACCGGGAGAAUAAGCACCGGCUAACUCCGUG
rnacentral:rRNA from 1 species